GAUGAACGCUGGCGGCGUGCCUAAUACAUGCAAGUCGAGCGAACAGACGAGGAGCUUGCUCCUCUGACGUUAGCGGCGGACGGGUGAGUAACACGUGGAUAACCUACCUAUAAGACUGGGAUAACUUCGGGAAACCGGAGCUAAUACCGGAUAAUAUAUUGAACCGCAUGGUUCAUUAGUGAAAGACGGUUUUGCUGUCACUUCUAGAUGGAUCUGCGCCGCAUGAGCUAGUUGGUAAGGUAACGGCUUACCAAGGCAACGAUGCGUAGACGACCUGAGAGGGGGAUCGGCCACCCUGGAACUGAGACACGGUCCAGACUCCUACGGGAGGCAGCAGUAGGGAAUCUUCCGCAGUGGGCGAAAGCCUGACGGAGCAACGCCGCGUGAGUGAUGAAGGUCUUCGGAUCGUAAAACUCUGUUAUUAGGGAAGAACAAAUGUGUAAGUAACUAUGCACGUCUUGACGGUACCUAAUCAGAAAGCCACGGCUAACUACGUG
rnacentral:rRNA from 1 species